AGGUGCAGGCAGGAGAUAUGACCAGUUCAGCAUUGCGAUAUUGCUACAAGGAAUCUGAACUGUUCCUGCCUAAGAUGAAAAAGCAUGUCGGAGAAGUCGGGAGAGACGCACACAACAUGCCAGGCUAAGGCAGGAAGAAUAACUCUCAGAAAUACAGCUCUGAGAGAGCUCUGCAGAAAAAGCCCCAAGAUUCCCUGAAGAAGCAGCAGUUCUAGUUGAGACACCAGCUGCUCAGACCUUUCUGCAAGGAUCUGUGGGCUGAUAAGACUUUGUGGAAUCUCCAGGCUGCAUUCCUCCUCUGUUUGCUAAAUGACUCGUUGUGUCUUCAAGCUG